AUUGAACGCUGGCGGUAGGCCUUACACAUGCAAGUCGAACGAGUGGCGGACGGGUGAGUAAUGUCUGGGAAACUGCCCGAUGGAGGGGGAUAACUACUGGAAACGGUAGCUAAUACCGCAUACUAUCGGAUGUGCCCAGAUGGGAUUAGCUAGUAGGUGGGGUAAAGGCUCACCUAGGCGACGAGCCCUAGCGGGUCUGAGAGGAUGACCAGCCACACUGGGACAGAGACACGGUCCAGACUCCUACGGGAGGCAGCAGUGGGGAAUAUUGCACAAUGGGCGCAAGCCUGAGGCAGCCAUGCCGCGUGUAUGAAGAAGGCCUUCGGGUUGUAAAGUACUUUCAGCGGGGAUGCGUUACCCGCAGAAGAAGCACCGGCUAACUCCGUGCCAGCAGCCGCGGUAAUUC
rnacentral:rRNA from 1 species